ACCGCCAGAGAAUUACAAGCGCAAGCUUAAAACUCAAAGGACUUGACGGUGUCCUAUCUACCUAGAGGAGCCUGUUCUAUAAUCGAUAACCCCCGAUAUACCUCACCCCUUUUAGCCUAUACCAGCCUGUAUACUUCCGUCGUAAGCUUAUCAUAUGAAUGUCUAAUAAGCUAAAAGGUAAACCAACCAAAACGUCAGGUCAAAGUGCAGCCAACAAAGGGGAAAGAAAUGGGCUACAAUUUCUAAACAAGAACAAACGAAGACUCAUAUGAAAAAUGGGUAAGAAGGUGGAUUUAGAAGUAAAGUAAAAAUAGAGCGUUUACUUUAACAAGGCCCUAGGACGUGUAC
rnacentral:rRNA from 1 species